AUGUACAUUCUUACAACAUAGCGUUAAUGCACCGGAUUCCAUUAGAAAUCCGUAGUUAAGUGCACUCGGGCUAGAGUAGUACUGGGAUGGGUAACCACUUGAGAAGUCCUAGUAUUUUUCAUG
rfam:Picea glauca, whole genome shotgun sequence.